rnacentral:rRNA from 1 species
GAUGAACGCUGGCGGCGUGCCUAAUACAUGCAAGUCGAGCGAACAGAUGAGGAGCUUGCUCCUCUGACGUUAGCGGCGGACGGGUGAGUAACACGUGGAUAACCUACCUAUAAGACUGGGAUAACUUCGGGAAACCGGAGCUAAUACCGGAUAAUAUAUUGAACCGCAUGGUUCAAUAGUGAAAGACGGUUUUGCUGUCACUUAUAGAUGGAUCCGCGCCGCAUUAGCUAGUUGGUAAGGUAACGGCUUACCAAGGCAACGAUGCGUAGCCGACCUGAGAGGGUGAUCGGCCACACUGGAACUGAGACCCGGUCAAGACUCCUACGGGAGGCAGCAGUAGGGAAUCUUCCGCAAUGGGCGAAAGCCUGACGGAGCAACGCCGCGUGAGUGAUGAAGGUCUUCGGAUCGUAAAACUCUGUUAUUAGGGAAGAACAAAUGUGUAAGUAACUAUGCACGUCUUGACGGUACCUAAUCAGAAAGCCACGGCUAACUACGUG